rnacentral:rRNA from 1 species
GUGGGGAAUCUUGCGCAAUGGGCGAAAGCCUGACGCAGCCAUGCCGCGUGAAUGAUGAAGGUCUUAGGAUUGUAAAAUUCUUUCACCGGGGACGAUAAUGACGGUACCCGGAGAAGAAGCUCCGGCUAACUUCGUGCCAGCAGCCGCGGUAAUACGAAGGGGGCUAGCGUUGCUCGGAAUUACUGGGCGUAAAGGGCGCGUAGGCGGACAGCUUAGUCAGAGGUGAAAGCCCAGGGCUCAACCUUGGAAUUGCCUUUGAUACUGGCUGUCUUGAGUUUGGGAGAGGUGAGUGGAACUCCGAGUGUAGAGGUGAAAUUCGUAGAUAUUCGGAAGAACACCAGUGGCGAAGGCGACUCACUGGCCCAAUACUGACGCUGAGGCGCGAAAGCGUGGGGAGCAAACAGGAUUAGGAACCCCUGUAGUCC